UACGUAGGGGGCAAGCGUUGUCCGGAUUUAUUGGGCGUAAAGAGCGUGUAGGCGGCCGUACAGGUCAGCUGUGAAAACUCGAGGCUCAACCUCGAGACGUCGGUUGAAACCGUACGGCUAGAGUCCGGAAGAGGAGAGUGGAAUUCCCGGUGUAGCGGUGAAAUGCGCAGAUAUCGGGAAGAACACCUAUGGCGAAGGCAGCUCUCUGGGACGGUACUGACGCUGAGACGCGAAAGCGUGGGGAGCGAACAGG
rnacentral:rRNA from 1 species